rnacentral:rRNA from 1 species
UAGAUAGAAUAAUGAUAAUGACAAUUUUCUAUCUAUAUGUCUUGACCAAAUCUUGUGCCAGCAGUCGCGGCAACACAAGGGAGACUAGUGUUAUUCAUCUUUAUUAGGUUUAAAGGGUACCUAGACGGUAUAUCAAGCCCCAAAAGGGAACGGAUAUACUAGAGUUUUAUGUGAGAGGCAAAUAUAGUACUAUUGGUGUAGAGAUAAAAUUCAUUGAUACCUCUAGGCACGGGUAACGGCGAAGGCAAUCCUCUAUGUAAAAACUGACGUUGAGGGACGAAGGCUCGGGUAGCGAAUAGGAUUAGAUACCCUAGUAGUCCGGGCAGACAAUUAUGAAUGUCAUAGAUUAGAAAACAAAGAAGCUAGUAGGUUUGCUAUGAACAGACUGUAUAAUUUAAGAGUCUUGUUAUUAAAUUAUACAGUCUCUACUGUAACUAGUUUAGAUAUUAACUCUUAGACUUCCUUAAACGAGAGUCUCCUCAUUUUCCUUCUGACUUCUCAUUAAAGGGGAGAGGCCUCCCGAGAAGCAAAGCAGAUGGGUGUAGAAUGGGAGUUUAAGGAAGGUUUAUUUGCCUCUUGGAUUAUUCAUUCUUUAAAUAAACCUUCGAAGGUUAGUUAUCUUCUCUAGUUAACCGUACACAAGGAGCUAGAAGUGUAGUAUAUAUCAACUUGUGUAUUAAAAAGGAUACGGGUAAAGGUUUGCUUCUUCACCUUCCUAUUUUUGGUCUAUAAAUGAAAGUGUAAGCAUUCCACCUCAAGAGUAAGGCGGCAACGUUGGAACUGAAAUCAUUAGACCGUUUCUGAAACCAGUAGUGAAGUAUGUUAUUUAAUUCGAUGAUCCUCGAAAAACCUUACCACAAUUUGAAUGUUAAUUAAUAAAUUAACACAGGCGUUGCAUGGCUGUCUUCAGUUAAUGUCGUGAGGUUUGGUUAGAUCCAUAAAAUUAUCGUAAACCCUUGUUCUUUAUUUGUUUGAA